rnacentral:rRNA from 1 species
CACGUAGGCGGAUAUUUAAGUCGGGGGUGAAAUCCCAGAGCUCAACUCUGGAACUGCCUUUGAUACUGGGUAUCUUGAGUAUGGAAGAGGUAAGUGGAAUUCCGAGUGUAGAGGUGAAAUUCGUAGAUAUUCGGAGGAACACCAGUGGCGAAGGCGGCUUACUGGUCCAUUACUGACGCUGAGGUGCGAAAGCGUGGGGAGCAAACA